ACAACCUUUCAGGAGGAAAGAAAUAGAAGAGGACCGUCCUGAAGCAGACUCUGAGACAAACACUGAGACAGAAAUGGAUUGAUUAGGGUCUAUGGCCCUCUAUCCUCACUUGUGGACCCUGCUCCGUGGUGGGAUCAAAGGGGCUUCCUACUGUCCUCCUCUUGGCCCUCUCCACACUCCUGCGAACAAACUCCUCAUAGAUGGGCUCUUCCACGAAGAUACGAGAGCCUGCAGUGCAGCACUGGCCUGCAUUGAAGAACACUCCCUGGUGGGCCUGCUCCACAGCUAGAUCCACUGAGGAAGAGGAAGAAGAGGAAAAGGGGGGGCUCAGUAUACAGUUCAUUUUAGAGGAGAUAAAGAGAAGACCAGCGCUGGGAGAAGAUAGAGGGAGUCAAGGGAGGAGGAAAAAACACAUCUGAGACCCCCCCCCCCUCAGUGGAAAAGAAUGAUGCCUCAUCUCUUCGCACGAACAAUGUUUAGCACUGGAAUGUCUCCCUUCCCCAAUAUUGUCAGACUGCGUUAUUCUGUGUAAGGAAAUGAGCAGGGCAGCUUGCUGAGUGUUCUGGUUGGAGUGGUAGAUCAGCUGUGUGAUAGGGACAGCAGGACAAACCUUCCUCUGGCAGGCAGGCAGCAGGCAGCACGGUCUCUAAAGCUGUGCUGGCUGUCGCUGUCUUUGAUGGCGGGGCUCAAGGGGUGCUGACUAACAUGACGUUAGCGUGCAUUCACUGAAGUGUAAAGGAGACACGCUGGACUGGCUCCCACUUGGGCCGCUACUGUGGAGAGUCACAGUCCGGUGUGUGUGCGAGAGUACAAGGAUGAGGCACCCCUGACGCAAUGGCCACCUGAAAACACCCCCCCCCUAAAAGCCUCUACCCAUUCACCCCUCUACCCCCUCCAGCCUCUCAGAGGAUGCUGUGUCCACUGUCCCCUCUCGCCCGGUGUGACUGAAACCCAAGGUGACUCACAGUCUGGGCAUCUACAUUCUCUCACAGCAGCGCUUCAUCCACUCUGUAAUUGACUCCAGAUCACAGGAAACAACAACAGAGAAAGCAAUUAAAGACAACUGGCCACUUUUUGGGGAAAUGUUCUGUAACUGCCGAUGGUAAAAAAAAUAUAAAAAAAUAGGAAAGCUCGUAUGUGUGUGCUGCCUGGUAGCAUGUAAAGUGAUGGUGGAGAAAGCCCUGUGGAUGUUCAUUGGUUAGGUAAUGGAGCAUUGAUCAAAUUAUUAAAUGACUUAAGUUUGGGCUGCAUGAAUGGACUCUGAGGAUCAAUUGAAAACCUAUUCACUCUCAUUAACUUUAUUACUGCAUUCAGAUUCUCAUUAAUAACCGUUCAGAUGAUUUGGACAUCUGAGUCUUUGUCAUCCUUACAGUGCUUGACAGAGAUGUUGCAACAUUGAUGUAAAAAAAAAAUGCAAAUUUACAAAUCCUGUAUAUUCUCCAUAAAGGCCUGGAUUUGAUUCAACCACACAAUUUAAAUAAAUA